UGAAUAUGAGGUUUUGCCCAAGUAACAAUAUCAGUGUCUUCAAACUUAGUUUUUCUCCCAGAUAUUAGCUCUAGAAGAACCACACCAUAGGAAUAAACAUCUGACUUUUCAGAUACUCUUUGAGAAUGCUCUGGAUCCGCAUAAACUGGAGUUCCCUUGUUUGAUGUACUGAUGUGAGUGAGGUUACCAGUUUCCGGAAAAAGAAGAGCAAGUCCAAAAUCUGCUACCUUU
rnacentral:misc_RNA from 1 species